rnacentral:hammerhead_ribozyme from 1 species
AUCCAGCUGACGAGUCCUAAAUAUGACGAAACGCGUGUUCUGAAC